AUUGAACGCUGGCGGCAUGCUUUACACAUGCAAGUCGAACGGUAACAGGGAGCUUGCUCCGCUGACGAGUGGCGAACGGGUGAGUAAUGCGUCGGAACGUGCCGUGUAGUGGGGGAUAACGCAUCGAAAGGUGUGCUAAUACCGCAUACGAACUGAGGUUGAAAGUGGGGGACCUUCGGGCCUCACGCUAUUCGAGCGGCCGUCGUCUGAUUAGCUAGUUGGUGAGGUAAAGGCUCACCAAGGCGACGAUCAGUAGCGGGUCUGAGAGGGUGAUCCGCCACACUGGGACUGAGACACGGCCCAGCCUCCUACGGGAGGCAGCAGUGGGGAAUUUUGGACAAUGGGCGCAAGCCUGAUCCAGCCAUGCCGCGUGUCUGAAGAAGGCCUUCGGGUUGUAAAGGACUUUUGUCCGGGAGCAAAUGCUGGUGGCUAACAUCCACCGGAGCUGAGAGUACCGGAAGAAUAAGCACCGGCUAACUACGUGCCAGCCGCCGCAGUAACAC
rnacentral:rRNA from 1 species